rnacentral:pre_miRNA from 1 species
CAUGCACUGGUGGGGUCCCUCGGCCUGGCCUGUGCCCUCUCACAAUCCAGGACUCCUCAGGGGAUGUAGGAGAGCUGAUUUCAGCCCUAUCCCCAUAGGCCAGGCCAAGGGACCCCACCAGUGCACA